rnacentral:rRNA from 1 species
AGCAGCUGCGGUAAUUCCAGCUCCAAUAGCGUAUAUUAAAGUUGUUGCAGUUAAAAAGCUCGUAGUUGAAUUUCGGGGUUAGUAGGUUGGUCAUGCCUCUGGUAUGUACUGGUCUCACUGAUUCCUCCUUCCUGAUGAGCCGUAAUGCCAUUAAUUUGGUGUUGCGGGGAAUUUGGACUGUUACUUUGAAAAAAUUAGAGUGUUAACUA